rnacentral:rRNA from 1 species
GAAGAAGGCGGGGGGCGUGCUUAACACAUGCAAGUCGAACGGAAAGGCCCUGCUUUUGUGGGGUGCUCGAGUGGCGAACGGGUGAGUAACACGUGAGUAGCCUGCCCUUGACUUUGGGAUAACUUCAUGAAACUGGGGCUAAUACCGGAUAGGAGCUCCUGCUUCAUGGUGGGGGUUGGAAAGUUUCGGCGGUUGGUGAUGGACUCGCGGCUUAUCAGCUUGUUGGUUGGGUAGUGGCUUACCAAGGCUUUGACGGGUAGCCGGCCUGAGAGGGUGACCGGCCACAUUGGGACUGAGAUACGGCCCAGACUACUACGGGAGGCAGCAGUGGGGAAUAUUGCACAAUGGGCGGAAGCCUGAUGCAGCAAAGCCGCGUGCGGGAUGACGGCCUUCGGGUUGUAAACCGCUUUCGCCUGUGACGAAGCGUGAGUGACGGUAAUGGGUAAAGAAGCACCGGCUAACUACGUG